UACGGAGGGUGCAAACGUUGCUCGGAAUCAUUGGGCGUAAAGCGCACGUAGGCGGCCUGUUAAGUCGGGUGUGAAAGCCCUGGGCUCAACCCAGGAAGUGCACUCGAAACUGGCGGGCUUGAAUAUGGAAGAGGGUCGCGGAAUUCCCGGUGUAGAGGUGAAAUUCGUAGAUAUUCGGAGGAACACCAGUGGCGAAGGCGGCUCACUGGUCCAUUACUGACGCUGAGGUGCGAAAGCGUGGGGAGCAAACAGG
rnacentral:rRNA from 1 species